rnacentral:misc_RNA from 1 species
GAUGAAGAACGUAGCGAAAUGCGAUAAGUAGUGUGAAUUGCAGAAUUCAGUGAAUCAUCGAAUCUUUGAACGCACAUUGCGCCCUUUGGUAUUCCUUAGGGCAUGCCUGUUCGAGCGUCAUUACAACCCUCAAGCUCAGCUUGGUGUUGGGCCCCGCCGCCCCGGCGGGCCCUAAAGUCAGUGGCGGUGCCGUCCGGCUCCGAGCGUAGUAAUUCUUCUCGCUCUGGAGGUCCGGUCGUGUGCUCGCCAGCAACCCCCAAUUUUUUUCAGGUUGACCUCGGAUCAGGUAGGGAUACCCGCUGAACUUAAGCAUAUCAAUAAGCGGAGGA